AGCAGCCGCCACGGUAAUACGUAGGUGGCAAGCGUUGUCCGGAAUUAUUGGGCGUAAAGGGAGUGUAGGCGGUCUUUUAAGUCUGAUGUGAAAGCCCACGGCUCAACCGUGGAGGGUCAUUGGAAACUGGGAGACUUGAGUGCAGAUGAGGAGAGCGGAAUUCCAUGUGUAGCGGUGAAAUGCGUAGAUAUUGGGAAGAACACCAGUGGCGAAGGCGGCUUUCUGGACUGCAACUGACGCUGAGGCUCGAAAGCCAGGGGAGCGAACGGGAUUAGAUACCCCGGUAGUCCCUGUCUCUUAUAC
rnacentral:rRNA from 1 species